rnacentral:rRNA from 1 species
AUACGGAGGGGGCUAGCGUUGUUCGGAAUUACUGGGCGUAAAGCGCACGUAGGCGGAUUAAAAAGUUAGAGGUGAAAUCCCAGGGCUUAACCCUGGAACUGCCUUUAAAACUAGUAGUCUAGAGUUCGAGAGAGGUGAGUGGAAUUCCAAGUGUAGAGGUGAAAUUCGUAGAUAUUUGGAGGAACACCAGUGGCGAAGGCGGCUCACUGGCUCGAUACUGACGCUGAGGUGCGAAAGCGUGGGGAGAAAACAGGAUUAGAAACCCCUGUAGUCC